ensembl:rRNA 5S_rRNA 5S ribosomal RNA
GCUUACGGCCAUACCACCUGAACAUGCCCGAUCUCGUCAGAUCUCGAAGCUAAGCAGGGUCGGGCCUGGUUAGUACUUGGAUGGGAGACCGCCUGGGAAUACCAGGUGCUGUUAACU